rnacentral:rRNA from 1 species
UACGGGGGGGGGCAAGCGUUGUUCGGAAUUACUGGGCGUAAAGGGCGCGUAGGCGGCUUUUCAAGUCGGGCGUGAAAUCUCCGGGCUUAACCUGGAAGGGUCGUUCGAUACUGUCGAGCUAGAGUGUGGAAGAGGCUACUGGAAUUCCGUGUGUAGCGGGUGAAAUGCGUAGAUAUACGGAGGAACACCAGCGGCGAAAGGCGGGUGAGCUGGGCCAACACUGACGCUGAUGCGCGAAAGCCAGGGGAGCAAACGGG